CAUUCAGCCCUCACUCACUCACCCCCUUCCCCCAACACCCCCUGUUCAUGAAUCACUAUCUCUGAACUCAAGCAAAGUUCAAAAUCACCUAACCAAAACCCUAGGUUCUCCCUGCAACGAUUCUGAGACAGUGUUGCCGCCGUCUGUGCUGUCGGUGCCUCUGCGUCCUCUCUUGUAGCCCAGGCCCUCUCUUGUAGCUUGGCGUCCUCCUUCCCGCUGUCCCCGUUCUCCCUGGCUUCUCUGUUCGAGGUUGGAGUAGCUUGCUGUCGUGUCGCCACCGUGUCACUGGUCACCGGUCGCCGUUCGUGUCUCCACCGAAGGUUAGUGGCUAGAAGAUUUUGAAUCUUUUGCCAUCGCUCCGAGAUCUCUGAUGGCUUGUCAAGGGGAAAGAAACUGGAAAAAAUGGAAAAUUUGGUAAAAACAGUGGGUAAAUGAGCUGUGGAAAACAAAUAUGAGACAUCAAGAUUCGUCUCAGGUUCUGAACAAAGAUAUUAUAUAUCAUUUUGUUCUCUGUCUUAUGUAUUGCAGAAUGGAGGAAUUGAGGAAAUGGUUUCUUUCUAUGGAAUCUGCACUCUUUCACCACUGAUUUUGUAAUCAAACUGCUGAAGCUCAUGUAGUAUCUACUUACACGUCAUGGUUUUGUAUUUCAAGUAUGGUAUUUACUUAUCAUUUACAUUGCUUAUGAGUGCACAUCGGGCCAUCAUGGAAGAAUUUAACCUUCCUUGCAAGGCUGUAAGCAAUGCAAAGUUUGAGGUUGAAAGAAAAAUUGGAACAAAUUGCACGUUCUAUUGGUCAUAACCUGUCUUUAUCCACUACUCCAUAUCAUUCUUUUAAAGCUACAUAGUUUGAGAUACACAAGUGCUUUUCCAAGGAUAAUGUUGGGGCGCAAAAAUGUCUUGGAUGAGGCUCGAUUUUAGUAUCAAACCAAUGAAGCAAAUCAACUGCAGUUGUUUGAGAAUAGUGAGUUUUCGCCUUCAUUUUGUCAUGGAAUAAUGGAAGUAGCUACUGACCCUGACUAUAGGUUCGAUCUAGCCAUCCAGCCUGGGAGAUUAGAGGUUGCAAAGAGAAUUGCCAUGGAAGUGCAGAUUGAGUCUAAAUGGAAGCAGUUGGGAGAAUUAUCCAUGUCUACUGGAAAGAGGACAAGAGUUGUUUGUGAAGCAAUUGUUGAAGCUGGAUACUAUUAAGGUUGAAGGUGAAACGAAAUUGCAGAGAAAAAUUGAGGAUUAAGUUACAACUACAAUUGUUAGCUUUAUAUGUUCGGAUUAAGUUAGAAUUUUUUGAAUUUACAUUUUAUAGAUUACGACUAUGUAAAACUUGUAGAAUUCAACUUUUAAAAUAUAUUGUUUCUAAUUUGUAAAACUUGUGCGAUUGAGUUUAAAUUUGUUGAAAUAUAAUGCCAUUUAUUAUUUUGU